UACAGAGGUCUCAAGCGUUGUUCGGAUUCAUUGGGCGUAAAGGGUGCGUAGGCGGCGCGGUAAGUCGGGUGUGAAAUCUCGGGGCUUAACUCCGAAACUGCAUUCGAUACUGCCGUGCUUGAGGACUGGAGAGGAGACUGGAAUUUACGGUGUAGCGGUGAAAUGCGUAGAUAUCGUAAGGAAGACCAGUGGCGAAGGCGGGUCUCUGGACAGUUCCUGACGCUCAUGCACGAAAGCGUGGGGAGCAAACAGG
rnacentral:rRNA from 1 species